GUCUACAAAUGUACCUGCCCUUCCAUAUCAUUUAUACCAAGAUUGAUCCGGUGAAAAUACCAAGCAGACAUCUUGUGAUACAAUUACUGUACACCCGAAUGGAGUAUAUUUACGAAGUUUCCGAGCAGAAUUCCUACUUGAGGCAUGCAGCGGUGUUAUGAACGCGGUAUUCGGAAAAAUUAAUAAAACGAUGUAAAA